rfam:Glossina austeni unplaced genomic scaffold Scaffold813, whole genome shotgun sequence.
AAAAUUAGCGCGGAAAGAAGGCCCUGUUGUGCUUGACUCUAAUCUGUAACGUAGUGUAGUGUAACGAGACAUAAGAGGUGUAGAAUAAGUGGGAGAUAUUGUUCUUUCGGGUUCAUUAUCGCCAAUUCGAUACCAGUACUCUUAUUGUUUCCCUACUUGAUUAAGUGGAACGUGUAUCAUUACUUAGCCAUUAUUGCUCAGCCAUAUUGAUCAAAGUACUAAAGAGUUUGUUAUAUAAUUGUAAACAAAUUUUAAUGAGAUUUUUUGGCAUUUCUACGCUUAUUCAAUCAAUAUUUAGAAUUUGGUGUAACUCCCAAUACUCAGGUGUGAUCCAAUUCAAUAGCAUCGCCAGGUAGGGAGUUUGACUGGGGCGGUAAAUCUCUCAAAUAAUAAAGCUGUUCCAAAGCUAGCUCAGAAACCACACAUAGAGCAAAAGGGCAAAAGUUGACUUGAUCUCGGUGUUCGGUACACACAGGGACACCAAAGCUCGGCCUAUGAUUUAAGGACUUUUUAAGAGUUUUUACCGCAGAGAUAAGUGGCUUGUGACGGCCAAGCAUUCAUAGCGACGAGGCUUUGCGAUCCUUUCGGCUCUUCCUUUCAUUGUGAACCAAAAUUCCCCAAGCGUUGGAUUGUUCACAGAUGCAAGGGAACGUGAGCUGGGUUUAGACCGUCGUGAGACAGGUUAGUUUUACCCUACUAAUGGAAAUAUAUUGUUACGACAGCAAGCAAGUACGGAAGGAACCGCAGUUAUGGACCAAGGCACAAUACUUACUCGAGCGAACAGUGGUAUGACGCCACGUCCGUUGGAUUAUGCCUGAACGCCUUUUAGGCGGUCGUAUCCAAGCUGGACUGCUACGAUAAAAAUGGGGCAAUUGCAUUGUAUGGCUUUUAAAGUUUAUGAUAAACGACAAUGGAAUGUGAUGACAAUGUUUUAUUGUAACAUAACAAAUGCAGGAAAAUAUUAUCGCAUGUAUGUCGCGUUAGUUACAUUUAAAAACAUUAUUUAAUACAAUGGCAAUACCUAGAAUCAAUUGUAAACGACUUUUGUAACGCGCAAGAUGUUGAAAGUGGUAGAACAGCUGCCAUACUGCGAAGCUCAUGCUUAGUUUGACGAUUC